GUUCCCGGAGGUGACGGCAGCUGGGGUGGAGCCAGGCCCUUCUCUGGACAGCGACCAUCCGAGCUGGCUCCGGGGGGCAUCUCCUGUGGCAUCUGAAAGACUUGGCCUUUCAAUUCAUUGCUCCAACACAGACUUGCUGUGUAACCCUGGGUAAGGUCCAUUGGCACCAGCUGCAAGAGGACAGUCUGGUCUGCUAGGCGGCUAAGGUGACUGAGCAGUAGCCAAGGAAAUGAGUGGAAGCAAUGAGAGCAAUUCUGGGGACGUCACCUCCAGAGAUGGAGGAACACGCAUUCCAACGAACGCAAAAAUCUUAAUAGGACAGAAGCAUGCAGAAUCCAAAAGCCUGGUCAAAGAAAAAUACAUCCUGCUUCAGGGGAGUUCGUUCCAGGACACAAAGGCUAACGGGAAAUCUGCUAAUGCAGCUCCACAUAGCAGUAGCUAGGAGGAGGAAGAUCAAAUGGUUUUUGCUCUAACUCAACAACCACUUUAGAUUUUUAAGAUGUUGAUAACUGGACUGGAUAUGUUCUUGACAUUGUAAAACACUGGCUUUGACCUCAAAGAUGGCACCUGGUUGGAUGGGGGACUGAGAGGGUUAGGUUUCUGAGCCAAUUCAGCUUGCCAGGCCCAACACUAAUCUAAGUCUGGCCAGAAGGGUGUCUUGUGGGUGUGGUGAACAUCUAUAGUCAGGUACCUUAAGUAACAGAGUUUGUCUUCUAUCAUCUGGGUGGGCCUCAUCUAAUCCACUGAAAAACCUUAAGAGCAAGACUGAGAUGUUUUUCCUUGGAAGAGAAAAUUCUGCUUCAGGCUGCAGCAGCAGCACCUGCCUGAGAUCCCAGCCGGCCCUGCCAUCAUGCAAGCCAACUCCUUGAAAUAAACUUCUUAGGUGCACGUGUUCUACUGGUUCCGCUUCUCUGGAGGAGCUGCCUGGUGCAGGCAGGUGAGGGGCAUUCCCAGGGAGGUCGGCUGCCUCGGCCAGGCAAGCACACAUCAAACUGCAAGGGACCUCCCCAGGGCUGAGGAUUCUGGGUAAAGCUGAAAGCAGUCCAUCCUAAAAUCUAGCAGUUCCAUUUUUAGAUGGUUAUUAGAGAAACUUCUGUGUAUGUGUGCAGAGAUGUUUGUUAUUGUACUGUUCAUGAUAAAUAGUAAAACACUAAAGAAAGAGUCUAACAGCUCAUAGUAGGGACUAGGGGACUGGAUGGCUAGACCAGGGGAAAUAUGACCCUUAAAAAAAGAAUAAAUGGAGACUUAGAGCUACCCAUGUGGGUGAUGAUCACUGGUAUGCAUCAGAUCACCCAGAGUGUUUGUUAAAGCCCAGGGCCAGGCCUCAGCCCUUGAGUCGCUGACUCAGGUCAUCUGGGGCAGAGUCUGUGAAAUUCUAACAAGUUGCCGGAUGAUGCUGAGAUCGCCAGUUCAGGGGACACACUUGGAGUGGUGCAGAUGAACACAAACUUCAAAAAUACAAUGUAAUGUUGCAAAAUGAUGUGCACUCAGUAUCACUGGUGUUAAUCUGUUAUGUCGGAAAACAUACUGUAUCUUGUUUAUGGAUAUACAUGUGUAGCAAAUAAACUAAAGUGGUGACCUCUAGGGUGGGAGAGAGAAUAAGUACAUUUCAGAGGAUGUGGCAGAGAUACUGCCACUAAAUUCCUCAAAUCCCAAGCAGUUUCCCCAGGCCCUCAGGCCUCAGGAGGGCAAGAGUCUCCCAGAUUGCCGUGCUGUUAGGUGAGGCCUCCUAACUGAGUCCUGGGCAACAGGGGAUCGAGGGUGCAGUGGAUCUGCCUUACUUCCUGGUGCCUAAAACUUUCCAGGCACUCCUCUGAGUUCCCCUUCCUUAUUGCCCUCCUUGGUGCGAAGCUUCCUAUGCCCCUUUCGACUCAAAGUGUGGCCCAUGGGCCAGUUAUAUCAGCAUCACCAGGGAGUUUGUUAGAAAUCAGAAUUGCAGAGGGAGGCCCAGGAAUCAGUGUGAACAACUCACCAGAUGAUUUUUAUGUACAUUUAAAUUUGAAAAACAGGGUCCCAGGGGAGUCCUAGGGGAUGGUGGUUUCACUCCCUAGGGAAGCCUGGAUCCCUAAAUGACUGCAUGGAGCAGUCGGAGCAUCUUGGCUGACUUGCACUAGACUAUGGUGACAAGGCAGUAAAGCACUGGCCUCUGCCAUUGAGACUCUGAUGUUCUUUGGCAACAGUACGUGGUUUCCCCUAAUUAAUACCGAAGGGAAACAACUAAUACAGGGGGUAUUAACUGUAUUAAUUAACAAUUAAUACAGUGAGGCCAGUUGGGUGGGGUUUAAGCUCUUUAAAAGAGGAAAUGUAGGUAAGAACAACAAGAGUUAUAGGUACAGAGAUCUAUUAUCUAUCCUUUUCAGCACAUUUGUAAUAUUUUAUAACUUAAAAAUAUUACAAAGUAAUCUAGAAAUGAAAAAUCUCAGAUUUAUACAGGUGACCGACCAGGGACAAAUGGAACAAAGAGGGUGUUAUGGUUUGGAUGCGAGAUGUCCCCCAGAAGCUCACAUGUAAGACCAUGCAGGAAGGUUCAGGGGAGAAAUAACUGGGUUGUAAGACUCUAGACCCAACCAGUGAUUUAAUCCCCUGAUAGGGAUUAAGUGAGUGUCACUGAAGAGGUGGGUGUGGCUGGAGGA